rnacentral:rRNA from 1 species
GAAACGACUGCUAAGACUGGAUAGGAGAUAAGAAGGCAUCUUCUUAUUUUUAAAAGACCUAGCAAUAGGUAUGCUUAAGGAGGGGCUUGCGUCACAUUAGUUAGUUGGUAGGGUAAAAGCCUACCAAGACGAUGAUGUGUAGCCGGGCUGAGAGGCUGAACGGCCACAUUGGAACUGAGACACGGUCCAAACUCCUACGGGAGGCAGCAGUAGGGAAUUUUCGGCAAUGGAGGAAACUCUGACCGAGCAGCGCCGCGUGAACGAUGAAGUAUUUCGGUACGUAAAGUUCUUUUAUUAGGGAAGAAAAGAUGGUGGAAAAACCAUUAUGACGGUACUUAAUGAAUAAGCCCCGGCUAACUAUGUGCCAGCAGCCGCGGUAAUACAUAGGGGGCGAGCGUUAUCCGGAAUUAUUGGGCGUAAAGGGUGCGUAGGCGGUUUAAUAAGUUUAUGGUCUAAGUGCAAUGCUUAACAUUGUGAUGCUAUAAAAACUGUUUGACUAGAGUUGGAUAGAGGCAAGUGGAAUUCCAUGUGUAGCGGUAAAAUGCGUAAAUAUAUGGAGGAACACCAUGAGCGAAGGCGGCUUGCUGGGUCUUAACUGACGCUGAGGCACGAAAGCGUGGGGAGCAAACAGGAUUAGAUACCCUGGUAGUCCACGCCGUAAACGAUGAGUACUAGAUGUUGGGUUAAACCAGUGUCGAAGUUAACACAUUAAGUACUCCGCCUGAGUAGUACGUACGCAAGUAUGAAACUUAAAGGAAUUGACGGGACUCCGCACAAGCGGUGGAUCAUGUUGUUUAAUUCGAAGGUACCCGAAAAACCUCACCAGGUCUUGACAUGCUUCUGCAAAGUUGUAGAAAUACAGUGGAGGUUAUCAAUUGCACAGGUGGUGCAUGGUUGUCGUCAGCUCGUGUCGUGAGAUGUUGGGUUAAGUCCCGCAACGAGCGCAACCCUUGUUGUUAAUUGCCAUCAUUAAGUUGGGGACUUUAGCAAGACUGUCAGUGAUAAGUUGGAGGAUGGUGGGGACGACGUCAAAUCAUCAUGCCCCUUAUGACCUGGGCUACAAACGUGAUACAAUGGCUGUUACAAAGGGUAGCUGAAGCGCAAGCUUUUGGCAAAUCUCAAAAAAACAGUCUCAGUUCGGAUUGAAGUCUGCAACUCGACUUCAUGAAGUUGGAAUCGCUAGUAAUCGCGAAUCAGCAUGUCGCGGUGAAUACGUUCUCGGGGUUUGUACACACCGCCCGUCA